rnacentral:snRNA from 1 species
AUUCCUUUCUCGACCUUUUGUCUAAGAUAAAGUGUAAUAUUUGAUGUUAUAUAUCAGUUCAAUAUCUAGUAUAUAGACCAUAUGUUCACUUUAAUAUUAAUUUUAUGUUUUAUGGGUAUUUUGUUAUGGGGAGGGUCCACCAUACUGGUUUACACGGUCUUUGCGUGUCGCUCAGCCAUUGCACUGCUGGUAGGGCCUGACUCACCCCAA